AAUUCUAAUUUGAGAUGUCUGUCAAUUUGCAUUUUUACGUUCUGCAGUUCAUAGACUUAUUGUUGCUUACUUUGUUUUUCCUGUGGGUGUGUCAGGGCAAUUUACAUAGCUAUAGCUCCAAAAAUGAUCAUAAAUUUACUAAGACUAAUAUAGCUUACAGGUGAGCUGUUUACAUAAAUGUGUGUUGCUGUUGUAUGAAACUAGGACGUGCAGUACCUCUGGACUUUUCUGAGGAAUGUGUCCAUAGUUGUCUCCCCCACCUGAAUGCCUGUUGCCGUUGAAUGGCACCUUUUGCUGCUUGGAGGUGCCCCACACGUGCCGGUUCGAUCUGGCGCAGCGCUUCCAGGCACGAGUAGAUAUUUGGAUGGGGUCUGCCCACCACCACAACAGCCAUGAGGGGUACGAGCUCCUGCUCAUAAAUGUCAGGGACAGGCACGUGAGGCUCCUUCCGUGCCCAGUCUUUCAGCCUCGCCCGCAGCCUGUCUUCUGUUGCACAGGCAACCACAGGAGCAUGAAUGUGAUCUCCUGGGAGACAAAAAAUCAUGAUUCUGAUUAAUGAAGCAAAGUCACACCAGACCUGAACCAGCUUUGCGACAGUUGAGAGACCUUCACAUAGGGGCACCUGCUUUGUCGCCACUGGGGUCUGCGAGGAGAAUACAGAGAAGCACCACGUCACAACAAGCAAAUGUCACUUUCGAAUAAUAUAGCAAGUUGAACUGCCCUUCCACAGUCCGAGCAACAACUGGGCAGUUGAUCAUCCAAUACUCCUUGCAUUUCCACAUGCUGGAGUACGCUGGAGGACGUACUUAUAUCCGUCCACAUGCAAGGAGUCUUUUCCUUUCCGAGUUUCGAUGAAAUGGCCAUCCAUCUUGCCACUUCAGAAUCUUUGCACCAAACGUCUCUGUGUUGCGUGUGCGUGCGGGCGAAGCGAACACGUGAAAAUUUUAUUUUGUAUGGUGCAAUGAUACAAGAAGCGUAAAGUGAGAAAUAAAUAUAUUUU